UAUGCAAUCUACCUUGUACAGAGGGAUAGCCCAGAGAAAUUUGGAUUAAUACCUCAUAGUAUCUUCGGAAGGCAUCUUCUGAUUAUUAAAGUUCCAACGGUACAAGAUGAGCAUGCGUCCCAUUAGUUAGUUGGUAAGGUAACGGCUUACCAAGACUAUGAUGGGUAGGGGUCCUGAGAGGGAGAUCCCCCACACUGGUACUGAGACACGGACCAGACUCCUACGGGAGGCAGCAGUGAGGAAUAUUGGGCAAUGGGCGAGAGCCUGACCCAGCCAUGCCGCGUGCAGGAAGACGGUCCUAUGGAUUGUAAACUGCUUUUAUACGGGAAGAAACCCUGCUACGUGUAGCAGAUUGACGGUACCGUAGGAAUAAGCACCGGCUAACUACGUGCCAGCAGCCGCGGUAAUACGUAGGGUGCGAGCGUUAAUCGGAAUUACUGGGCGUAAAGCGUGCGCAGGCGGUUUUGUAAGACAGGCGUGAAAUCCCCGGGCUCAACCUGGGAAUUGCGCUUGUGACUGCAAGGCUAGAGUGCGGCAGAGGGGGAUGGAAUUCCGCGUGUAGCAGUGAAAUGCGUAGAUAUGCGGAGGAACACCGAUGGCGAGGGCAAUCCCCUGGGCCUGCACUGACGCUCAUGCACGAAAGCGUGGGGAGCAAACAGGAUUAGAUACCCUGGUAGUCCACGCCCUAAACGAUGUCAACUGGUUGUUGGGUCUUUGCUGACUCAGUAACGAAGCUAACGCGUGAAGUUGACCGCCUGGGGAGUACGGCCGCAAGGUUGAAACUCAAAGGGAAUUGACGGGGGACCCGCACAAGGCGGCGGAAUGGAUGUGGGUUUAAUUCGGAUGCAACCGCGGAAGAACCCUUACCAGGGGCUUUGACAUUGUCCCGGAAUCUUUGGUGAAAAGCC
rnacentral:rRNA from 1 species